rnacentral:rRNA from 1 species
GCGAAGCUGGCGGCGCGCUUACACAUGCAACGUCGAGCGAGAACCGGGGCUUCGGCCCCGGUCCACAGCGGCGAAGGGGUGAGUAUCACGUGGAUAACCUGCCCUCGGCACCGGGAUAGCCCGGGGAAACCCGGAUUAAUACCGGAUGGCCCUUCCGACCUUCGGGUCGGUUGGAAAAGGUAGCUUCGGCCUCCGGCCGAGGAUGGGUCUGCGGCGGAUUAGCUUGUUGGCGGGGUAACGGCCCACCAAGGCGACGAUCCGUAGCUGGUCUGAGAGGACGAUCAGCCACACUGGGACUGAGACACGGCCCAGACUCCUACGGGAGGCAGCAGUGGGGAAUCUUGCGCAAUGGGCGAAAGCCUGACGCAGCGACGCCGCGUGAGGGAAGAAGGCCUUCGGGUUGUAAACCUCUUUCAGGAGGGACGAAGCUACUCGGGUGAAUAGCCCAGACGGUGACGGUACCUCCAGAAGAAGCCCCGGCUAACUACGUGCCACCAGCCGCGGUAAUACGUAAGGGGCAAGCGUUGUCCUGAUUUACUGGGGCGUAAAGAGCUCGUAAGGUGGUUUGUCCCGUUGUUCGUGAAAACUCACAACUCAAUUGUGGGCGUGCGGGGCGAUA